GAUGAAGAACGUAGCGAAGUGCGAUAAGUAAUGUGAAUUGCAGAAUUCCGUGAAUCAUCGAAUCUUUGAACGCAAAUUGCACUUUCUGGUAUUCCGGAGAGUAUGCCUGUUUGAGGGUCAGUGUAAUAAAUAAAUCGUGGUUGUUACCACUUUUCGUGGUGACGCUUCGGAAUUGAGUCGUCUUGCCUUCGGUUAAGUGACUUAAAAUUUUUUCAUACGAUUUCGAAACGUAUUUAAUGUAAUAUGUACGUUCACGAAUAUCGAAUGUUUUUAUUAGGUGCGGUCAUUUUCAUGAAUUCGCGUCUAUAAUUUUUUUUUUUUGACCUCAAAUCAGGUAAGAAUACCCGCUGAACUUAAGCAUAUCAAUAAGCGGAGGA
rnacentral:misc_RNA from 1 species